ACUGAACGCUGGCGGCAUGCCUUACACAUGCAAGUCGAACGGCAGCACGGGUGCUUGCACCUGGUGGCGAGUGGCUAACGGGAGAGUAAUUCAUCGGAACGUACCUUAUCGUGGGGGAUAAGGCAGCGAAUGCUGUGCCAAUACCGCAUACGCCCUGAGGGGGAAAGCGGGGGAUCGCAAGACCUCGCCCGAUAAGAGCGGCCGAUGCAUGAUUAGCUUGUUGGUGGGGUAAAAGCCCACCAAGGCGACGAUCAAUAGCUGGUCUGAGAGGACGAUCAGCCACACUGGCACUGAGACACGGCCCAGGCUCCUACGGGAGGCAGCAGUGGGGGAUUUUGGACAAUGGGGGCUACCCUGAUCCAGCAAUGCCGCGUGAGUGAAGAAGGCCUUCGGGUUGUAAAGCUCUUUUGUCAGGGAAGAAACACCGGCUCUAACAAAGUCAGGGAAUGACGGUACCUGAAGAAUAAGCACCGGCUAACUACGUGCCAGCAGCCGCCGUAA
rnacentral:rRNA from 1 species